UGGGGAAUUUUCCGCAAUGGGCGAAAGCCUGACGGAGCAAUACCGCGUGAGGGAGGAAGGCUUUUGGGUUGUAAACCUCUUUUGUUAAGGAAGAAGCAAGUGACGGUACUUAACGAAUCAGCAUCGGCUAACUCCGUGCCAGCAGCCGCGGUAAUACGGAGGAUGCAAGCGUUAUCCGGAAUUAUUGGGCGUAAAGCGUUCGCAGGUGGUUAUUCAAGUCCGCUGUCAAAGCCCGGGGCUUAACCCUGGAGAGGCAGUAGAAACUGAAAAACUAGAGACCGGUAGGGGUAGAGGGAAUUCCCAGUGUAGCGGUGAAAUGCGUAGAGAUUGGGAAGAACACCAGUGGCGAAAGCGCUCUACUGGGCCGGUACUGACACUCAGGGACGAAAGCUAGGGGAGCGAAAGGGAUUAGAUACCCCCGUAGUCC
rnacentral:rRNA from 1 species